ensembl:lincRNA
CAGCCGCAUGCCCCACUCACUAAUGCCUAGCUGCAAAGGCCCGCCACUUGCUUCACGCACAAGCCUAGCACAGCUGUCUGCUUAACCAGAUGGACAAAGGGGAACAUGUGUGACAGAGGACAUGCUACCCUUUCCAGAGUGGCCAGCGGGUCCAAGGACAGUUUAAUUUCCUUCUGUGACUGAGGGCAGUGGCUUAUUUUGACAAGUGUCACUUCUCUCUUUGUGCAUUGUGGAGCUAAUACAGAUCACCUGGGCGACCUCCCAAGGAGCUAAUGCGUGCAGACACAUUUCGCAGAAGAUGCUGCUGUUGUUCCGGCAUCCUUCCUGAGCGGCAGGGAACAACGGCAUCCUCUGCACGUGAUUCGAGAGCUUCAGGCACACUCACAGCUCGCCUGCAUUCUCUUUUGUGGGGUGGCGCAUCUUAAGCAGAGUCCCUCUGCCGGUGAAUCCUCUAAAGGAAUUCCAUGUCUCCGUGGAAGCGGAAGCCCUGUUGUUAGUGAAGGCUUGGAGAUCUCUCCAGCUUGGCAGAGAACUUUUGGGCUUCAGGGGCUCAGCAAGAACCCGGAAGCAGGUGCGGGACGGACCCGGACUGCCUGCCUCCCAUUAGCUGGCCCUGGCUGCCGGGACGCCUCUCUCCUUGAGGCUAGCAGGGAAGAUUUG